AUGGCCUGGACCCUUCUCCUCCUUGGCCUCCUCGCUCACUGCACAGGUUCCCUCUCCCAGCCUGUGCUGACUCAGCUGCCCUCCCUCUCUACAUCUCCUGGAGCAUCAGCCAGACUCACCUGCACCCUGAGCAGUGGGUACAGUGUUGCCAGCUAUACUAUAUACUGGUACCGGCAGAAGCCAGGGAGCCCUCCCCGGUACCUCCUGAGGUUCAGGUCAGACUCUGAUAAGCACAAGGGCUCCGGGAUCCCCAGCCGCUUCUCUGGAUCCAAAGAUGCCUCGGCCAAUGCAGGGCUCCUGCUCAUCUCUGGGCUGCAGCCCGAGGACGAGGACGACUAUUCCUGUGGUGUAGGUCAUAGCAGUGGGAGCAGCUAUCAUUCCCACAGUGUCUCAGAUGAGGAGGAAGUGAGACAAAAACCCCUGGGCCCACAGACCUUGGCUCUGAGCCUCUUUUCAGUGAGAAGCUUCUGUGGUGGGAUCUGCAAGGGAGGCUUCUCUGCACCGAGAUCUCUGUGA